CUGGGUUCAGAACGUCGUGAGACAGUUCGGUCCAUAUCCGGUGCAGGCGUAAGAGUAUUGAGAGGAUUCUUCCUUAGUACGAGAGGACCGGGAAGAACGCACCGCUGGUGUACCUGUUAUCGUGCCAACGGUAGACGCAGGGUAGCCAAGUGCGGAGUGGAUAACCGCUGAAAGCAUCUAAGUGGGAAGCCCACCUCAAGAUGAGUACUCUCAUGGCAAAAGCCAGUAAGGUCACCCGCAGAACACGGGUUAAUAGGCUCUAGAUGGAAGUGCAGUGAUGUAUGAAGUCGAGGAGUACUAACAGACCGAGGGCUUGACCUC
rnacentral:rRNA from 1 species